rnacentral:rRNA from 1 species
CACACGACUCUUGGUAACGGAUAUCUUGGCUCUCGCAUCGAUGAAGAACGUAGCAAAAUGUGAUACCUGGUGUGAAUUGUAGAAUCCCGUGAACCAUCGAGUUUUUGAACGCAAGGUGGACGUCACGU